GCUCUUGUAGCUCAGUUGGCAGAGCAGCUGAUUUGUAAUCAGCAGGUCGUAGGUUCGAGACCUACCGAGAGCA
rnacentral:tRNA from 1 species